GGUAAGGUGGCUGAGUUAGGCGGUAGAUUGUAAAUCUAUCAACGAGAGGACCUCUCCCUUUCCA
rnacentral:tRNA from 1 species